AGACACUGGGCAGAGAAUACAGUGGCAUAGAAAUGUUUGGAUGGGUGUCUGCGGCUCGUGGGCACGCUCUUGGCCUGUCCCAGCUCAUAGGUGCACAUGUGUCAGCUGGAAGGACCAAGUCCUGAAAUCCCACAUGCUCCAGAGAGUCCAGAAUUCAAAUCCGGGACCUUCGUCUGCCGAAUCCUAACCUGGGAGAAGACAAUUAGACCUAUCCUCAGCGAUUUCAGUCCUCUCUUUCAUCCCCUGGGCGGGGUUGCUGGAGACAUCGUUGAGUUUUGCUAUGAUCCACAUGGAUACAGAGGACCCUUCCACAAUCUUCUCUGAAGUCUGGAAGAUUCUCCCACUGUCGGCGGCACUGUUCCAUGGCUGGGAUCCUGGACUUCCUAAGUGUAGAAAUGCACUCAUGAUUGUGGAUGUGAGGUGGGCAGCUGCUUCAGGCUUCCGCCUUGACUUUCCUGCCAUGACGGACUGUGCCUUGAACUGUGGGCAGAAAUAAACUUCUCCCCCUCAAGAAAGAAAAUAAUUAUGGCAACAGGAAAAGAAACCAAGACAACCCAUCCUGAAUUUCUAUUCAUGCUUUAAAAUGUGGGGUUAUUUUUAAAAAUAUUAUAUUGCAGAAUAAAAUGCAUACAGAAAAUCACGUAAAACAAAUGCGUGGUUAACACAUUUCUUUUUUUCUUCCUCCAGCAAACACGAAUUCAAGAGAGAAAGCUUGCCUACUUAGGAGUGAGCCCUGCACAUCCCCCCCCCCCACACACACACUGCUUCACCCUCAUGCAAACGUCAGCCCGACUCCCAGUAUCUAAAAGCCUGGUUUUAUCAUUUAAAUGUGAAUUCCUGGACAUUACUGCUUAGUCCUGUAUGAUUUUUGAAAAUCUAACAUGUCUUUUCAGUUUCCUCCACCCUGUACAUUCUCCUCUCAUUUCUCUCCUCUCACGGCCAUUAUCUGCAGGGAAGCCUGGCGCCUCCGACUCAUAGCCUCCCUCCAGGCUGGAUGUUGCCGAUAGCAUUCUCUACACCCGCCUCUGCCCUUUAUGCCUUCCUGCACACGAGAGUCUGAGCCAGGGACCGAGUCAGGCCAAGCCUUAAGCCCUCUGUAAAGUCGUUAUUUGGUGUCUGGCCAGAAGUUGAGUGUAUCUCAUUUUGCCAUACAAAUAGCUCCGGGCUGUCAAUGCCUGCAGCCUCUCUGUCCCUCAGAGUUGCAAAGGAUGCCUUUCCAUUCUGCACUACUUUUUUUUUCUUUCUAUUUGUCAACUGGCUUUUCAAGAAUUUAAGGGGAAAGUCACCGCUUGCCCACUGUUUAGCUCUCCGAGAAGCGUCUCUCAUUUCUCCUUUGGUGGAAAGAAUUUUAUCUUUCCUUCCAGUGUGGGAGUACAGAUAGUGGAUUAUCUGUUCUCAUGUUUAUGAAAACAUUUUUAUUUGACCCUCAAUUUUAAAGGCAUUGUGUCUGGGUACCCAUGCCUAGGCUGAGAUUUAAAGAUGGCUCGUCUUUGUCUCCUGGCUUCAUUGUUCUUGGGGGCAAAUCAGCUGUGACUUUUGUCUUUGCCUUCUGUGGGAAACACUCAUCUUUCUGCCUUUUAACCAUGAGGCUUAGCGGCUUUAUUCCUGUGCCCUCUG